CUGUAAUUUAGUCGGUUCCACACAGCGCAGUCCAAGUUAUUUCCUCUUGGUUGUUGUUGUUGCUUCGAUUGCUUCCUUCGUUUGCCUUCCCCUCCCUUCUCUCCAAACGCUUCGUUGGCUUCCUUCGUUGGGGUAGAGAUGUUAAAACAGUUGUUCCCUUCUGAACCGAAACUGCCAUUUGAUUAUCCUUCACCCAAAGUGGAGAGAAUUAACUCCAAUUUACAAGACAUUUUCCUGCUCGGAGGAAAGACUUGCAACCUGCUGUAAAUAGUCUCUCUAGAGGAGUCUGUACAGAAGAGAAGAUGCUCCAGUAGAGAUUAGGAGGAAAUCCCAGCCCACCUGCAUAAAUCUCCAUUGUCUUUGUUAAGACACUGCACUCUUCUG